UUUUGGAAUUCUGGGCGUAAGCGUGCGCUAGGUGGUUUUUAAGUCCGUGUGAAAUCCCUGGGCUCAACCUGGGAACUGCANCUGGAUACUGGACUGACUAGAGUGUGGUAGAGGGAUAGCGGAAUUCCUGGUGUAGCAGUGAAAUGCGUAGAGAUCAGGAGGAACAUCCAUGGCGAAGGCAGCUNCCUGGACCAAAACUGACACUGAGGCNCGAAAGCGUGGGGAGCAAACAGGAUUAGAUACCCUGGUAGUCCACGCCCUAAACGAUGAGAACUGGAUGUUGGGUGCAAUUUGCCAC
rnacentral:rRNA from 1 species